rnacentral:rRNA from 1 species
GCAAGACCGGUGCCAGCCGCCGCGGUAACACCGGCGGCUCGAGUGGUAACCGUUAUUAUUGGGUCUAAAGGGUCUGUAGCCGGCCGGAUAAGUCUCUUGAGAAAUCCAGCAGCCCAACUGUUGGGCUUUCAGGAGAUACUGUUCGGCUCGAGGCCGGGAGAGGUGAGAGGUACUUCAGGGGUAGGGGUGAAAUCUUGUAAUCCUUGAAGGACCACCAGUGGCGAAGGCGUCUCACCAGAACGGACCUGACGGCAAGGGACGAAAGCUAGGGGCACGAACCGGAUUAGAUACCCGGGUAGUCCUAGCCGUAAACGAUACUCGCUAGGUGUCGGCCACGGUGCGACCGUUGUCGGUGCCGUAGGGAAGCCGUGAAGCGAGC